CGUGUGGCGGCAAGCUAUGGGCGUGGCCUAUGGGGUAAUGGCCGUGGGGGCAAGAUAAUUGGGGUGGCUAUGGGGUAUGGGGUGGGGCAGAUAUGGGGUGGCUAUGGGGUAUGGGGUGGGGCAGAUAUGGGGCGGCUAUGGGGUAUGGGGUGGGUAGAUAUGGGUGGCUUACGAGGGCUAUGGGGUGGGCAGAAUAUGGGGUUGGGAUGGGCAUUAUGGGGCCGGCUAUGGGGUAUGGGAUGGGGC
rnacentral:lncRNA from 1 species